rnacentral:rRNA from 1 species
AUACGGAGGGUCCGAGCGUUAUCCGGAAUCAUUGGGUUUAAAGGGUCCAUAGGCGGGAAUCUAAGUCAGUGGUGAAAUCUUGCAGCUCAACUGUAAAAUUGCCAUUGAUACUGGAUUUCUUGAAUUAGUGUGAAGUGGUUAGAAUGUGUAGUGUAGCGGUGAAAUGCAUAGAUAUUACACAGAAUACCAAUUGCGAAGGCAGAUCACUAACACUAUAUUGACGCUAAGGGACGAAAGCGUGGGGAGCGAACAGGAUUAGAUACCCUAGUAGUCC